rnacentral:rRNA from 1 species
CGAACAGACGAGGAGCUUGCUCCUCUGACGUUAGCGGCGGACGGGUGAGCAACACGUGGAUAACCUACCUAUAAGACUGGGAUAACUUCGGGAAACCGGAGCUAAUACCGGAUAAUAUAUUGAACCGCAUGGUUCAAUAGUGAAAGACGGUUUUGCUGCCACUUAUAGAUGGAUCCGCGCCGCAUUAGCUAGUUGGUAAGGUAACGGCUUACCAAGGCAACGAUGCGUAGCCGACCUGAGAGGGUGAUCGGCCACACUGGAACUGAGACACGGUCCAGACUCCUACGGGAGGCAGCAGUAGGGAAUCUUCCGCAAUGGGCGAAAGCCUGACGGAGCAACGCCGCGUGAGUGAUGAAGGUCUUCGGAUCGUAAAACUCUGUUAUUAGGGAAGAACAAAUGUGUAAGUAACUAUGCACGUCUUGACGGUACCUAAUCAGAAAGCCACGGCUAACUACGUACCAGCAGCCGCGGUAAUACGUAGGUGGCAAGCGUUAUCCGGAAUUAUUGGGCGUAAAGCGCGCGUAGGCGGUUUUUUAAGUCUGAUGUGAAAGCCCACGGCUCAACCGUGGAGGGUCAUUGGAAACUGGAAAACUUGAGUGCAGAAGAGGAAAGUGGAAUUCCAUGUGUAGCGGUGAAAUGCGCAGAGAUAUGGAGGAACACCAGUGGCGAAGGCGACUUUCUGGUCUGUAACUGACGCUGAUGUGCGAAAGCGUGGGGAUCAAACAGGAUUAG